rnacentral:rRNA from 1 species
AUUGAACGCUGGCGGCAGGCUUAACACAUGCAAGUCGAGCGAGCGGCGGACGGGUGAGUAAUGUCUGGGAAACUGCCUGAUGGAGGGGGAUCACUACUGGAAACGGUAGCUAAUACCGCAUACCCUCAGAUGUGCCCAGAUGGGAUUAGCUAGUAGGUGGGGUAAUGGCUCACCUAGUGGACGAUCCCUAGCUGGUCUGAGAGGAUGACCAGCCACACGGGAACGUAGACAGGGUCCAGACUCAUACGGGAGGCAGCAGUGGGGAAUAUUGCCCAAUGGGCGCAAGCCUGCUGCGGCCAUGCCGGGUGGGUGAAGAAGGCCUUCGGGUUGUAAAGCACUUUAAGCGAGAAGGCGUUACUCGCAGAAGAAGCACCGGCUAACUCCGUGCCAGCAGCCGCGGUAAUAC